rnacentral:lncRNA from 1 species
GAUCGUAGGUUUUUCUCUCUUCUCACUUUACCGAAAUUAGCUUUUUCGAUCUUUAUUCUCUCAACUGAAACACGUUGCUUGCUUUCAUAAUUUUGUAAUGCCUUAUAAUCAACACUCCCCUCUAAUGGCAGAUUGCACACCCAACUUGCAGAUCAAUUGAUGAUGUAAAGUACCGGAAAGGGGUUUGAUUAAAACAUUGGCCAAUUGGGAACCAGAAGGAAUGAAAAACAACCCGGAAAGUUAUUGUUGACGAACAAAGUGACAGUCAAAUUCGACGUGCUUUGUUAGUUCGUGAAAUAAGGGGUUUUCUAUCUAUGUGAAUUGUAGCUUGACUAUCGGAGAAGACUGAAACGGGUAGCUUUGGUGGUGCUGAAAUAUCAGAAAGAAGACGAAUCAACUAGGUAAUCUCAGCAACGACUCUUCUCAUAGAUCGAUAUUAUGUUUUGGCAUAUGAUAAAGAGACUGAGGUAUACUUCUUAGAUUUUCAAGAAAUUGGAGAACCUCACAAACUUAUAAAGAAUCCACCAACAAAUCUUCUUGUUUCAAGACAUGCACCAUGAUUCAAUAGAUCAGGUCCACUUACUUUUUCUUUUGUUGAUUUCAAAUGGGUUUGGUUGGUAUAAUGGAAAAUAGGAAUAUUCGGUGAUUCAAGAAGUGACUUGUCGGAGUCGCUGAAAGCCAGUAAAGAGAAUGAGGGAUCAGCAGACUGGAAAAUCCCAAGACCUAGAUCCUUCAGAAGAUACCUAAAAUAGUGAUACACAGCAUCAAGGUAAGGUUUGCGUGAUCUUGCAUGUAUUGACUAAGAUGCUGCACAAUGCAAAAGAAAGAUUAGGACGGGUGCGAGUAAGGAAGCUCAAUUUACCUAGAAGCCAUCAAUAAAAGGUCGGAUCAGGCAAAGGCUCCCCCGAAUUGGCAUAAAGUUUGUUGUUUGCAUCAAUUGGAGAAGAGGCAUGCUUCAAAGACAAGUAGUCAAACUCAGAAAGAAGAUCAAAGGUAAACUUUCUCUGAUUGAUAAUCAAUCCCUUUACUUCUCUAAUGAUUUCCAUACCUAGGAAGAAAUGAGCAUCUCCUAGAUCUUUAUUUUUUAAAUUCUGCAUCCAAGAAAUAGGUAAGAUCAUACAAUUCUUGUGUGUCAUCACCUAUAAGUAAAAUUUCAUCAAUAUAGAUUACCACGGUAGAAAUAGAAGUCCAAUGUUUUUGAUGAAAAAUGAGUAGUCAUUGAGAGAGUGUGAAUAUCCCUUAAAGUUGAGAGUUGCUAGCAGUCUAGCAUACCACUGACAAGAUGCUUGUUUAAGUCCAUAUAAUGACUUUCUUAAUCCGCACACAUGAUUAGGGGAAUGAGGUUCCAUACCUUGUGGAAAUUUCAUAUAUACUUCUUCAUCUAGGUCACCAUGCAAGAAAGCAUUGUUUAUAUCUAACUGAAACAAUCCCCAUCCUUUUUUCUAUUGCAACUGCCAAGUAGGGGUGUGCAUUCGAUUUAUCGAUUCGAUUUUGACCAACAGCAACAACUACCCAGUAUACUCCCACCAGGUGGGGUCUGGGGAGGGUAAUAUGUAGACAGCCUUACCCCUACCCAAAAGGGCAGAGAGGCUGCUUCCNNNNNNNNNNNNNNNNNNNNNNNNNNNNNNNNNNNNNNNNNNNNNNNNNNNNNNNNNNNNNNNNNNNNNNNNNNNNNNNNNNNNNNNNNNNNNNNNNNNNNNNNNNNNNNNNNNNNNNNNNNNNNNNNNNNNNNNNNNNNNNNNNNNNNNNNNNNNNNNNNNNNNNNNNNNNNNNNNNNNNNNNNNNNNNNNNNNNNNNNNNNNNNNNNNNNNNNNNNNNNNNNNNNNNNNNNNNNNNNNNNNNUAUAUCGCUACAAACACGCCUAACUAAUAUGGACAAAAAGAAGCUAAAAUAAGAAGAGCAUCAUUUGUAACAUAAAUAUUGUGUCAACAAGCACAUAAAACGAAAUUAAAGUAAGGGAUCAAAUGUAUGCCGCCAACACUGCAACGGUAUAAAAAAAUAAAAUAUAUCAUCGCGGCUAAUUUUAUUUUUCAUUAAUUUGAACUUUAUUCCAUUGAGCUUUAAAUAUGAUCAUUCCUUAAAUGUGGUAGAGGAAAUAUAGCGCUAGGGACUUAGGNNNNNNNNNNNNNNNNNNNNNNNNNNNNNNNNNNNNNNNNNNNNNNNNNNNNNNNNNNNNNNNNNNNNNNNNNNNNNNNNNNNNNNNNNNNNNNNNNNNNNNNNNNNNNNNNNNNNNNNNNNNNNNNNNNNNNNNNNNNNNNNNNNNNNNNNNNNNNNAGAAUCGAAAUCGAAAUCGAUAACUCGAUAAGGAAAAUUUUGAAAUCGAAAUCGAAAUCGAUAAAUCGAUAACAAAUAAUCGAAUCGAUUUAUCGAUAAGCCGAUUCGAAUGCACACCCCUACUGCCAAGAGACAUCUAAUAGUAGUCAUUUUGACCAUCGGUGAAAAGUCUCUGUAAAUUUCUAUACCUUCUUUUUGAAUAUCAUCCCUUAUCAUCAAUCUUGCCUUUAAACUUUCAAUAAUUCCAACGAAUUUGUAUUUCACCUUAUAUACCUAUUCGCAAGGUAGAGUUUUUUCUCAACGAGUAGUUCAACCACUUGAAGGUGUAAUAGGAAAUAAAUUGUCAAAAGUUUAAUCAUGGAUUAUAUCCCUAGAGCCAGAUUUAGGAGAGGGUGAAAAAUAAUAAAGUGAAGAUCCCUUACAGAGGAAUUACCCAAAGGAUUGGUUGGAGAGUAAGGACAUGGAUUAGUGGUGGGAGUGACUUGGUCAAAAUUAGUGUUUGAACCAUUAGGAGAAAACAUGAAAUUGCCCUACUUUUUAGGUGCAACGGGGUAAACAUGUUCAUAAAAAAUAAUUUCUAGAAAAUCUCUUUGGUUUUUAAAUUCAGUACUUUUUAUCCUUUUUUGCCAAAAAGGUAACCUGUAAAAAGUCAAGAUUCUGCCCUAGGCUCUACUUUGUUUCUGCUAUGAGAAUAUAUAGAGACAAAACACAAACAACCAAAAGAUUUAAAAUGAUAGUAUGAUGUAACUUUUCCAACCAGAGCAUCAUAAGGAGUUUUAAAACUCAGUGUAGAGGGAAAUAUGUUUAUUAGAUACCUAGAAAUGAAUAAGUCAAUAAACAUUCUCCCUAAUAUCUAAAUGGAAGAUGUGAUUGAGAAAGUAGAGCCUUACAGGUCUGCAAAAGGUGUUUGUGUUUUCUUUUCACAACUCCAUUUUAUUGUGUGGUGUGAUGGUAAAUGGUUUGGUGUAAAUCCCAUGGGAAGAAAAAAAUGCUGAAUGAGUUACCCCACUUCCUAAUUCUAUGGUAUUGUCAGAUUUUACUAUCUUUAUCUUAGUGUUGAAUUUCCUUUCUACCAUAAUUAUAAAAGAUUUAAGAAUAGUAAAAGCAUUGCCUUUUGUGCUCAUCAUGAAAGUCCAUGUUCCUCUACUGUAGUUAAGAAAUACUUGUAUUCUUGAUAUGUAGGUGUUCUGUAUGGUCCUCAAGCGUCUAUGUGGAUUAAAUCUAAGAUUCGUGAAGUACAGAUAGAACCUGAAGGAAAAGGCAGCUUGGGUUGUCUAGCAGAAGGAAAAAUAUCAUAUAGAGCAGCUGAAUUAUUGGUGGAGAAGAAACGUAACCUCUUAAUUUUCUUCAUAUUGGUUAUAGGAAUAUGUCCUAAUCUCAUAUACCACAUAAAUUCUUCAUUUUUACUAGAGUUACAACAAAAAUCAGAAUCUUGAAACUUUUCAUUAAUGGAUGAAACAUUGUUAUUACAUCUGAAAAUAUAAAAAGGCUCACAACUAGAAACUACGAUAGGUACUGCUUUAUUCUUGAUUAAAACUCCUCCCUUAGACAGACUAGAAGUAGUCAUGGUAUUAAUAGAUGGUUGAAGAAGAUAUAAUCCUCCCUUAGCGUCACCAAGUUCCACUAGUCUCUUCAUUGAAGGGCCCUGCAACAUAGAAUUACUAGAUGAGAAGAGAAAAAGACAAUUUAAUUGUUCGCAUAACCUUUUGGAUAGAAAUGAGAUUAUAUUUGAAAGCAGGUAUGUAAAGAACAUUUUCAAGAAUGAGAUCAGGAAGGACACACACCUUGACUUUGUAAGAGUUAGGAAGGAUGACAUAGAUUGGAACAACAAGUGAUUUAAGCUCAUAUGUUCUGAGGCACCUGAAUCAACUAUCCAACAAUCUGAAUUGAAAGAUGAAAAACAGGAGAAAUAAGUAGUAGUUAAGAUCUUUAUACCAGCACAAUUAGCAUUAGCAAUGAAAUCUUGAGUUGAACUACUUCGCUGACCAACCUUCACUGCUCCUGAGACAAUGUUGGAGUACUUAGUGAAUUCUCAGUGGUAGAAGCUGUCUACACCUGACUUUCCUGAGCUCCAAGCACUGCAUUUCCAUGUGAUUUCAUUAUGAAUUUUCUCUGCUUUGUGAACUUGGAUUCUGGAGGAAACCCAUGGAUCCUAUAGCAUUUGUCAAUGUUGUGCCCUGUCUUUUUGUAGUAGGCACAUGUCUGAUUUGCUCUUCCUCCAUCAAAAACUACCGUUACAUUUCUUCCUUCUUCAAUUCCAAAUCUUUGAUUUUCUCUUUGAUUGUUGGCAUAAGGAAAGGAGAAGAGUCUUAUGGGAAUGAAAUGAUCACUCUCACCUCUCUUUAUUUCUCAUCUUGCAUCAGAAGUGCAUCAGCCCGGUUAACAGAUGGCAAGGGUGAAAUCACCAGGAUGUUGCUUUUGACUGCUCCAUAAGAUUCACUCAAUCCCAUCAAUAAUUGGAUGUGUCUUUCAUCCUGCAGUGCCUUUUGCAAGUGACUCUUUCCUCCAUAGUCAUAAAGGCAAGUGCAAGUUACACAAGUGUUCAAAGCAUCUAACUCAUCUCAUAAUUUCUUCAUCUUAGUAAAGUAAGCUGCAAUGUAAUCUGAACCUUAUGUUAGCUCACUUAGCUCCUUUCGGAGGUGGUAAAGUUGUGCACUAGUGCACUAACCAAAUCGAUCUUCAAGAUUGGUCCAAAUUUCACGAGCAGUUUUGAAUAGAGCAUACUUUCAGCAAUUUCCUUAAUGAGUGAGUUCAAAAUUCAAGAUAUUGCUAGUAUACCCUACUUUAAACCGAUUAAAGUAAGGUAUAACACAUUAGGAAAAUUCGAGUUUAAUUGAAGUUAAAAAGUCGCCACCUAAUUAUUUCUAUGGUGAAUUAGGACACCUAUAUUAAUUAAAGCAUGUUGAACAUAUAACUUCAUUAAUGGUCUACUUGACCUAAAGAUUCUAGGUAAGAGUUCAAUUAAGUUCAAUUAAUCUAAAUAGGAAUUUUUUAAGGCACCCUUUAACCAAUCGAACUAAGUUAAUUAACUUAGCCCAAGACUUAAUGUUGUGUCUAAAGUAAUUGUUACGUCUAAAGAAUUUUGCAAGUCUAAAUGUGAAAUACAAAGUAGACUAAGACUUAAUUAGCCCAAAGCUACUGUUUAUUUCUAAAGUUAAAAAGCCAUUCCGAAUUUCAAAAACAUUUUCAAAGUUAAAAAUCAAUGUUAUAUGUCUAAUAGAAAGGGCCGGUGUUCUAAUAUAUUUAGCCCUAUAGUCUUGGACUUUGUCAAGUUAACUAAUUUCUUCAACUUAAUUAAAUAUCUCAGAUGAUUAAAAGGACAGGUAUCCACUAUAUGUUCCUUUAGAUCUGUAGACCAAAAAUCAGUUGAAUUCAAGAUAUUUCAAACAUUAAACACAAUCAUCAAAGCAAACAAAUAUUCAUAGUAAAUAACUGAAAGAAAGUUGUCAAGCAUAAUGUUCUGCAUAACCAAUUAAAGAAGAACUAUAACAGAAUCUAAUUUUUGAAUCACUAUUUGCUAGUGGUCUCCAAUUAUUACUGAUGUUUCUAUUGGGUGUCUAAAGGUACUUGAAUACAUAUGCGUAUGUAUCUUCCUCUCAACAUAGAGAAGGUGCAUGAGUCGAUUUUUAGUAGUCCACCUAAUUUUCUACCAACUUUUUCUAAUAUUUUUUUUGUCAUAGAACUCUGUUGGAAGCUGUGGUAGACUAAAUCCAUAUAGUUAUGGUAGAGAGGGUAGCUUCUUAUGGUACAAAUUUUGGUUCCCAUUUACGUAUUGAAAGGAAAUUCUCAGAGACAAAUCAUGGUCCUAGAUAUAGUGCUUUAGCCAUAUUUUCUUCUAGACUAAAUUCGACAUAAAGAAAUCUCAUCCUAGGUCAAUCAUGAUUCACUGUUCAGAUGGUUUCCAUAAGUCAAUUAGUUUAGAGCGAAGAUAUUGAUGUGACAUACUACGUCCAAAGACCUUUAUGAUUAUAGAGAAGCGCCAUGGAAAGUAUAGGCGGUUUUUAUAUUAUUGAGAAAGAGGGAUUGAGCCUUCAAUAUUUUUCCCCUUAUUAUCUUUGAUGAUUGUGGUGACGUCAUCCUCAUAGUAAUCAUUUUGGUAGAUUACCGAUUUAUCCAAAAGCAUUUCCUUGUAGGAAUAUAGUGUUGCUUCUUGCAUGUCCAUAUAGUUAUUAUUGCCCGAUGAUUCCUAUGGUAUAAGUAGUGUAAUAGUAAUUGUAUUCACGGGGUUAUGUCUUAGAGAGAGGGUAGAGUUUCUCUAUUUAUAACUUUUAUUACCAAAAAAGAUCUACACCAUAUUACAAUGACUAAAAUCAGAAAAGAAAUCCUACCAAACCUUCACUGUAAAAACUCCAUUUUUCUAGCCUACUCCACUAGUAAACAAUCGAACUCGAUCUCUUGGAGUUCUGGUAUACAAUACCUAUGCUGCGAAGACUUUCCGUUCUAUACUCAUAUAUAUUUAUUUAAUACUGUAUUAUAGUUAAAAUAAUUUAGUGUACAAAAAUAUUUCGCAUUCACGUGAGGUUCGAGGAAGGAUCACACUUUUCAGAAUAUGAUACAGACAAUCUAAUUUAAUACAAGCAUUGCUCGAAUUCGUCGUCCAUAAUUCAGCACCAUUGUAUCUGUAAUGAAGAUUAUAUUUAUUAUGCUUACCAAUUGAAAGUUGUCCCUGGGGCCUUGACACUUCAAUAAGGGGUAUUUGCAUUCGUUUCAAUCCUAAGGGGUCAAUGUCACAUUUCUGAACUCUAAUGCCACUAAUAAUAUAAAUUCCUACUGGUUUCUCUUUGGGAUAUAGCAUUCUUUUAAACUAUAGUGUCCUAACGGGUUUGCUCCUCCCAUUGAUAUAGAUAUUUGGUAACUAUGUCUAUUAUAGCAUUUUUUGAUCCUUUAAUUAGUACAAUAAAAUAUAAUUUUAAUCCUUUUAAUAUAUAACUGAACGAAUUUAAUUUUUAAUUAAUAAAAAUAUGUAUUUUUAGUCCUUUAUAUAGGAAAUACAUUGCACUGAAACUAUUUUUUUAAAAUUACAUUAGUGUCGAAUAAUGAGGAAUAAUAUAAACUUAACAUAAUGCAUUGAGAAUUAAAAUGGUGUAAUGCUGAAGAUUUACAAGUAGAGGGAUUUACAAGCAGAGGGAUCAAUGGUGUAAUGCCUGUCUCAGGGGAAAAAGGCAGAGUAUGGAUCUUAUGGAAUCCAAAGAUCUUCACAGUCACUAGUAUUCUGGAGGAAAGCCAGCUGAUCUACAACAGGAUUUUCAGCAGAACAGGGGACAUGUAUUUCCUCACUGUGGUCUAUGGAUUCAAUGGACUGGAGCAAAGAAGAACUCUAUGGAGCAGUCUACAAAAUUUGGCAAAAGGAAUUAAAGAACCAUUGGUUGUAGCAGGGGAUUUCAAUGCAAUCUUGUGUGACAAAGACAGACAAUCAUGUAAGUCAGUCAGAUUACCAAAAACAGUGGAAUUCAACAAUUGUCUACACCUUACUGGACUGACUGAACUACCCUGGACAGGUGACUACUACACAUGGACUAAUAAGCAAACUGGUGUGGACAGAGUAUGCAGCAGGCUUGAAAUAGUUGUCUAAUUCUAGGGGUGCCUCUAACAUUACAGUUGUACACUAUGUCUAUCAGUAUAGCAGUAUUACAUCGAAAGGUCUUGUUGAAAACUCUUGCAUUCCUUUCCAGCCAGAUAGCAUAUGCAACUUCAAUUGUAGCCAUUUUGAAAAUGGGACAGACUUAAAGCCCUGAAGACUCCUUUGAAGACACUCAAUAGCAGGGAAUUCAAAACAAUUACACUUAAAAUUGAGCAGAGUCGACAGGAACUGGGAACCAUACAAAAACAAUUGAGUCAGUCCUACAAUGAUGCACUACAACAGAAGGAGAAGGAACUGAUCUUACAACUGGAAAAUGGUCUUUGAUUGAAGAGAGCGUCUUGCAACAGAAGGCAAGAGCAAAGUGGAUACAACUAGAGGAUUCCAACACCAAAUUUUUUACUGCAGUAAUGAAGGAUAGAAGUCACCAGAAGCAAAUUCAUGAAAUUACCACUGCACAGGGCAUCAGGCUGACUACACCAACAGAAAUUAAAGAGGAAAUUCUGGGCUUCUACAAAGCACUGAUGGGCACUGCUGAACCAACACUACAUGCUAUCAAUCAACUGUACAUGUCCAAUGGCUCAAAAAUGAAGCAACAGCAAAGACAGGAACGGUGUGCUCCAGUUACUGAAACAGAAAUAACAGAAAGCCUCAAAGCUAUUGGAGAUGACAAAGCACCAGGAAUAGAUGGAUACGAUGCAGUCUUCUUCAAAAAAGGCUGGAGCAUCAUUGGUAACCAAGUCACUAAUGCCAUUAAGUAGUUCUUCAACUCAGCAAAGAUGUGCAGACCAAUCAACUGUGCCACCAUUACUCUCAUCCCUAAAAUGUCCAAAGCAUCUUCAAUCAAAGAGUAUAGACCUAUAGCUUGUUGUACUGUCCUCUACAAACUCAUCUCCAAAGUACUGGCUAAUAGGCUGUAAUGUCCAAACCAGCUUCAAUCAAAGAGUAUAGACCUAUAUGUUGUUGUACUUUUCUCUACAAACUCAUCCCCAAAGUACUGGCUAAUAGGUUGCAGAAGGUGAUGGCAAGCCUUAUCAAUGAAGCCCACGCAUGCUUCAUUCCAGGUAGGAAAAUUCAGGACAACAUCAUCCUAGUCCAUGAGCUUGUUAAAAGCUAUACUAGGAAGCAUAUCUCCCCCAGAUGUAUGAUUAAGAUAGACCUCCAGAAAGUAUACGAUUCAGUGGAGUGGGUGUUUUUACAGCAAGUCAUGGAACAGAUAGGAUUCGCUAGCACUUUCACCACAUGGAUUAUGGAGUGUAUAUCAACAGUGAGCCACUCAAUUCUGGUUAAUGGAGAGCCAACAGUUCCAUUUGAUGCAGCCAGAGGAUUGAGGCAAGGGGACCCCAUGUCCCUAUUCCUUUUUGCCUUGGUCAUGGAGUAUUUAAGCAGGUCCUGCACUGAAUUACAAGCUGUAAGUUAAAUAUAUUAAAAUUCAUUCAACAAAUAUAAAAUCAUUCACCCUUAAAGUCACUAUAUAUUAGAAAGUUAUCCUAAAAAUAAGAAGAAAUACUUAUAUAUUAAUAUUCUAAGUAUUAGGUUUAAUGGUUAUUUUAGUAUAUACUAUAUUUGUUAAGAGUAUUUUAGGUAAGGUGAAAAGUUAAAACUACUUUUGCUUUUGGGAAGAAGCUACUUUUUUCUGCUUUUUCUCAAAAACACUUUUUUCACCAAAUAAAUAUGGCCAAACACCUAAAGUUAGGAAAAAAAGUGCUUUCGUGAAAAAAGUACUUUUGACCUCACGAGAAGCUCAGCCAAAUAGGCUAUAAGCCUCCUAACUCAAUGACAUGAUGAACGUUCUUAAAAGAGAGUGUUGGUUUUAUUUUAUCCUAGGUAGACUAGAGUUGACUUCCUAAGACACAAGGUUGUCCCAAGCCAACAACUUGAGAAGGGAAAGUUCGUGACUGUCAACUGCACCGCUGAUACUAAAUCCACAAGCCGCAAAUUACAUAACUGCUUAAGUAUGUGAAUUGCGUGAAUUUUCCAAGAAUAGAGGAAGUGAAACAGAAUGACAAUUUAUAUCAAAGUAGUAACACAUAGAUAAUUUAUAUCAAACAAAUAAUUAUGGCAUGUAAAAUAAUUUAAAGUCAAAUACAAUAAGCACAAAAGCCUUAAUUAAACUAAGCCCAUUAUGGUUAGAAGUUAAGUCUCCAACAGAAUCACCAAGCUAGUAUAUCUCAUUUAAAACUGAUUAAAGCAAGGUACAACACAUUAAGCAGAUUCCAGUUUAAUUAAAGUUAAAUAGUCACCACCUAAUUAUUCUUAUGGUGAAUUAUGACACUUAUAUUAAUUAAAGCAUGUUUAACAUAUAACUUCAUUAAUGAUCUACUUGACCUAAAGAUUCUAGGUAAGGGUUCAAUUAAUCUAAAUAAAAAUUUUUUAAGGCACCCUUUAAGAUCCAUAUUAAAUGGCGAACCAAUCGAACUAAGUUAAUUAACUAAGCCCAAGACUUAAUGUUGUGUCUAAAGUAAUUGUUACGUCUAAAGAAUUUUGCAAGUCUAAAUGUGAAAUACAAAGUAGACUAAGACUUAAUUAGCCCAAAGCUACUGUUUAUUUCUAAAGUUAAAAAGCCAUUCCGAAUUUCAAAAACAUUUUCAAAGUUAAAAAUCAAUGUUAUAUGUCUAAUAGAAAGGGCCGGUGUUCUAAUAUAUUUAGCCCUAUAGUCUUGGACUUUGUCAAGUUAACUAAUUUCUUCAACUUAAUUAAAUAUCUCAGAUGAUUAAAAGGACAGGUAUCCACUAUAUGUUCCUUUAGAUCUGUAGACCAAAAAUCAGUUGAAUUCAAGAUAUUUCAAACAUUAAACACAAUCAUCAAAGCAAACAAAUAUUCAUAGUAAAUAACUGAAAGAAAGUUGUCAAGCAUAAUGUUCUGCAUAACCAAUUAAAGAAGAACUAUACCAGAAUGCUUGCUACAUUCCCUUUCCCUUUUCAUUCUCUGUUCGGAUAUUUUUGAGAGAGGCGAAAGAAAAAUGAAGACAUAGGUGCGAGUUCUAGGUAUAACAGUGACAUCGAGUGUGGAAGCAACCCAAGAACAUUUCCGUGUGUCAGCCAAACAAAAGAAAGAGAAGAAAAGGGUUAAAAGGAACUCUAAUUCAAAUAGCCAUGAAAGAGAAAAAAAAUACCCGAAGUAAAACAUCAUAUAAUUUUAUAAAAUUUACACCAUAAUAGAUACUACAACAUCCUAUAUUAACAGUAAAAAAAAAAAGAACCUAACUUUUACUUUAACAAAAAUUGAAUCUUAUACAUUCACAAGAUAUAGACGAAGAAAUGGAUCACACUUGUGGCGAGCCGGCCAGUCGUCUCAUGAGUUACCGUUUUCCCCCAUUUCUAUUUCUUUAUAUGCUUUGUUUAUCUGUGUUUUGUUGGAUCAGGCUGGUCGGAUCGAACCCGGGAUGAUUUUGUUAAGGUUUGAGACACUUAGUCUCUUUUGAGGAAGCUUAAGUUGGAAAAGUUUACCGGAUCUUGACUUAUGUGUUAGAGGGAUCGGAUGUGCGUUAGAGGGAUCGGAUGUGCGUUCCAGUGGUUCAGUUAGCUUCUGGAGGUGAUUUGAGGCUUAGGAGUGUGAUUGGGAUAGGUUUUAGAUGUUCGAAGUAGAUUUAGACUUAGAAUUGGCGAAGUUGAUAUUUUGGCGAUUUCUGGUUGGUAGACGAGAUUUUGAUAUAUGGGUCGAAAUGGAAUUCCGAGAGUUGCAAUAGCUUCAUUAUGUCAUUUGGGAUGUGUGUGUAAAAUUUUAGGUUAUUGGACGUGGUUUGGUUGAGUUUUUUAUCAAAAGCAGAAUUCGAAAGAUUUUAGAAACUUAGGCUUAAAUCUGAUGUGUAUUGAUUGAUUUGAUGUUGUUUGAGGUGUUUUGAAGAUUGGUACAAGUUUAAAUAAGGUUUUAGGAUAUGUUUGUACUUUUGAUUGAGGUCAUGGGGGCCCGGGGGUGAUUUCGGAUGAUUGACGGAGAAGUUUGGAUUUUGUUGCAGCUGUUGAAUUUGCUGCUUCUAGUAGUUUUGCACCUGCGGAUUAGGGACCGCAUAUGCGGCGCCACAUAAACGAAGGAUUGGUCGCAGAAGUGAAAAAGGUCUUGGGAGCAUGAACCGCAGAAACAGUUAGGGUGUCCGCAUAUGUGGAGUUGCAGGUGCAGAAGGUUGAUCGCAGAAGAGGUUUCUGGUCGGUUAAGUGAUUUUUGCAUAAGUGGAUGAAUGACUAUAAAUGCGGUACCGCAUAAGCGGGUCUUCCAGAUGCAAAAAUGUCUGGUCAGAUCAUAUAAGUUAUUUCAUUAGCGAUUUUGUGCUAUUUUCACCAUUUCUAUUUCGGGUUUGGAGCUUUUUGGGCGAUUUGAAAGAGGGAUUUCAAGGGAACGUCAUUGAGGUAAGGAAUUUGGACUUGAAACUCAUUCCUAUGCUAUUAUUUCACAUAUUAGAGCUAAAAAUUAUGAAAAUUAAAGGUAGGGAAAACUAGGGUUUAGUUUUUGAGACCUAUGAUUGAGGGUUUGGUGGACCAUUUGAGGUCGAAUUUCUGAACUUUUGAUAUGUAUGAACUCGUGGGAGAUAAGGAAUCUAUUGGUAUAAAAAUUAUUGAAUUUUGAGACGUGGCCCGGUGGUUGGAUUUUGGUAAUUUCGAGAUUUGUGUCAUUUAUUGAUUAUUUUUGCUUGAGCUUCUUUCCCUUAGCCUAUUUUGACGUCCUCAUUCUGAUUUAGGACAGAUUCGACCUGAGUGGAGGCUGGUUCGAGGGGCAAAGGCGUCGUGAGCUAGAGAUUUGACUGGUUCGAGGUGAGUAAUGAUUGUAAAUAAUGUUAUGAGGGUGUGAAACCCCUAAUUGCAUAUCGUAAUGCUAUAUUAAGGUGAGGCACACGGUUAAUGACGAGCGUGGGAUCGUGCACUAUUGGGGAUUUUGACUUGGUCUGUUCCGAUUGAUAAUUUUACCACGUAUUUGACUGAAAUCUAUUUUCUAUCAUCAUUAUUUGGGUUGAAUCCCAUAUAUAGGCUUCGUGCCAGCUAUUUGAACCCUUCGGUGGAUUUUUAUUGAUAUUUCCUCACUGUUUUGACUUUACACUUGAACUAAGUCAUGUUAUUUCCACUGUUUUCAUAUUCAGCCAUGUUUACUCAAUUUUAAUGCUUUAAUGAUAUUUGGGCUGAGAAACAAUGUUUGACUAUUACCCGAGUGGCUGAGGAUUUUUGAAUGAGUCAGACCGAGGGCCUGAGAUAUGAACGCCACGAGGUGACUUGAUUGAUAUGAGGUUGAGAGUCUAGUGAUGAUGCCAUGAGAUGACUUGAUAUUGCGCUUGGGGAGUAAGGGGCCUCUCUAGGAGUCUGCACACCCCAGUGAACGCGGAUACCUCUUGUGAUAUGAGAUUGAGCCCGAUGGGCUGGUAUUGUUUUGAGAUAUUGCCCGAGGGGGAGAUAUAUUGUUUAUGCUAUGCCCUAGGGGCGAACUUCUAUGUGUUUAUUUUUCCUUAAUUGCUCGUCAAUUUCCUGCUUACUUGUUGAAUAAGGAAUUUAUAUAUCUUUUCACUGGUUUACUGUUUGGAAAUGGUUUUACUGCUUCAUUAUAGAAUGCUUUGAGCAUUUUGUGUUUUCUUGCUUUCAGUCGUUAUUUUCAAUUGUUACUUACUGUGUUGGAGUACUCACUUUACUCUCUGCACCCUGUGUACAGAUUCAAGCGUAUCUGGUCCCGCUCCGAGUGCUGAUCAUUUCCAGCUUCAGGUGGAUCCGAGGAGUCUUUAGUUAGUUGUUGGCGUUUGUAACCUAGAGCUCCUCCCUAUCUCUUUUCCUUUAUGUUCUUAUUUUUGUACUGAACUCUGUAGUGAAUUUGGAGUAUUCCGUAUUAUUAGAUGCUCGUGACUUGUGACACUCCAGUAUCGGGCUGUGUUUGGGGUGUAUUCUGCAUAUUAUUCUAUCAUUUGUUUAACUGUGGUUUAUCU